GACGAACGCUGGCGGCGUGCUUAACACAUGCAAGUCGAACGGUGAAGCGCCUUCCUUUUUGGUGGGUGUGGAUGAGUGGCGAACGGGUGAGUAACACGUGAGUAACCUGCCCCCUUCUUCUGGAUAACCGCAUGAAAGUGUGGCUAGUACGGGAUAUUCUGGGUCUGUCGCAUGAUGGGUCUGGGAAAGAUAUUGUUUCGGUGGGGGAUGGGCUCGCGGCCUAUCAGCUUGUUGGUGGGGUGAUGGCCUACCAAGGCGGUGACGGGUAGCCGGCCUGAGAGGGUGGACGGUCACACUGGGACUGAGACACGGCCCAGACUCAUACGGGAGGCAGCAGUGGGGAAUAUUGCACAAUGGGCGCAAGCCUGAUGCAGCGACGCCGCGUGAGGGAUGGAGGCCUUCGGGUUGUGAACCUCUUUCGCCAGUGAAGCAGGCCUGCCUCGUUUGUGGGUGGGUUGACGGUAGCUGGAUAAGAAGCGCCGGCUAACUACGUG
rnacentral:rRNA from 1 species